rnacentral:rRNA from 1 species
GAUCUUUAAUGAAUAAUUAUAAUAUAAUUUGAAUAAGAUUAAAAGGACGCGGUAACCUUGACCGUGAUAAUGUAGCAUAAUCACUCGCCAUUUAAUUGGUGGAUAGUAUGAAUGGUUGAACGAAUAUUCCACUGUCUUAAGAAGAAUUAAAGGAAAUUGAAAUAAUAGUUAAGAUGCUAUUUACAACUGUAAGACGAAAAGACCCUAUAGAGCUUAACUAUAAUCUUUAUUAAAACAAAAAGAAAAUCAUUUCGAUUUAAAUAAAGAUUGGUAGUUUAGUUGGGGCGACUACCUUCUAAAUAAAACGAAGGCAAGCAAUAUUAAUAAAUAAUUUAUUGUAUAAUUAAAACAUUUAACAAUUAUAAAAAUAGGCUAUAAUGACCCGUUAAUUAUUAAAAAUAAUAUUAACGAUCAAUUAAUAAAAGCUACCUUAGGGAUAACAGGAUAAUUUCAUUUUAGAGUUCCUAUCGAAAAUGAAGUUUGUCACCUCUAUGUUGAAUUAA